rnacentral:lncRNA from 1 species
AUUCAUAGUAAUACAAAUCUUGCAUUUUUCAUCCAUAUAGGAAUGCAGUAUCAAGGUGCUGAAUCGCAUAGCAGAGAAGAAACAAUCCCGACACAAAGAAACACAUCUUUCACUCGCUUGACAGUUAAAGACAAUGUCAGGUUCACUAAAGAAGAAGGAUAUGUGCCGUGGAUGUAUACACCAGAGUAUCCGACACCAAACCAUACCAGAUACUUCAUCCUGGAGGACGAUAAUGAAUCUCUGAAAGUCCUUUAUGGCGGAACAUACAAGGUUUCUCUUCAGAUUACGUACAGAAAAUUCAGUGAAAACGAAGAGGAAAUAUUUCUGCAACAUGAUAUUCGUCAUUACACUGAUGAAUAUGAUAGACCCCUGCCCUUGCUCACCCACUGGGAAACAGUCAACCUCAAAUACUGGAGGAAAAGUCUGUUCUCUGAGGGUAUUUUUUCUCUCAAAUCUGGGGACAGACUCAAGGUGUGGUCCAAGAAUCGGAACCUCAUUGACGUUGGAGGGACAAUUUCGCAAAAAACAGCCUUUGUGGCAUAUCCUCAUUUUUCCACAUGAGGAUACGGCGAAGAUAGAAAUCACAAAAAAGGCCAUUUCUUUUGUAGCUUUGCAUAAAAAUCAAAAGGGCUGCCAUGAAGUAUCACAUUCAUCUGAGAUGACCUUAUGGUCUAAACAGAUUCUUCUUCCGUCAACAGAAUAAUUUGAAUCUCAGAUUUAUUUGUGCUAUAAUCAAUAGCAGAGGUAUGUACAGAAGAAAACCCUUAUGAAAAAAUACUGCGAUACAGUAACGGUGUCACAAGGUAAUACCAGGGUAUUUUGAUAUCAAGUAUGGUACUGAAAAUCAUUCCUUCUAGGGUAGUUUUUCAAGAAUAUCAUGGUACAUGUAAAACAGCAUGCUAAUAACAUAGUAUUUUGUGGUAUUUUCUUUUGUAUGAGAAGACUGUUCUGCUUCACGGUUGGGGACAAAACAGGCAUUGGCUUGGGUUUUUAAAACAUUUUUAAGCACUACAACUGUGGAGGAAUUGUAAUUUAGUAAUGAAGUUGUAUUUUUGUUUCAUUUUGAUUGAAUUUGGUACGAAAAUAUACCGUUGUAUGCAUUAACACACUUUAUACAACAGUUCGUUCUGGUUCUCAAAUCUGAUUGGUUGAGAACCGUAAUAUAUUGUACUGGUAUCGCAAAAGAAACCGCCUUUCACAACUUGUUCUAGCCGGGUCUAUGUUUUUUUUUUUUUUAUUAUUCACUGAGCUAAUCGUAGAGUACGUUAGUUAAUAUAAGAAGAAUCGUCUAGCUUCGCGGUCUCUCUCUCUCUCUCAUUUGGAUGCACGUCUUGCCGCAUUGUUUCUCUCUUAUAACCUCAUUAUUUCUCUCUAAUAACCUAACUGAAGCAGCACAUGCCCUUGAUACCAAUUCUAAAAGUGACGUAUGUUUAACUAUCAGCUUGAGCUUUGAAUCCGUGGCGGAAGGAAGUAGUUCCGCACAAAAGAGGGUUUUAUUAGGCACUCCGUUGUUUCUUGUUUAACUACACACAUGUUGCCUCGAACUUUUGUAUAAACGCAAUAUCACUCUCGUACUCGAGCGAUACCGGCUCUAUAUCAGCGGCUCGUGCCUCUGGCCUAAUCACAGCCAUGCUGAUAUAGAGCCGGUAUCGCUAUCGUACUCGAGUGAUAUUGCUACUAUAAUAUUUAUGCCAUUGUAAUGUCUUUAUAUGCUUUUGUAUGUUAUUAUUGUCUGAUUAAGGAUUUGGGCUGUUAAUGCAAAGGUUACCGGUUCAGUAACAUUAUGGAGUGAAGAGAAUGAUCAAUACCCUGUAUUGCUCUGUUCCCUAGUGUGUUUUUGAGGUGCAUCAUGGUUGCUGUCAUUGGAAUUUGUAGGCUAUAAGUUACUUUGUAUUAAAUAGGUUUGCAAUCACCAAAUAUGACCUUCAUAAUGAAAUUGCAUUAAAAAAUCAUUUUAUGUAUUUGAAUACAUCUUCAUACUGACAUUAUUCUUUGACCACG